GCCCGUAUAGCUCAGUGGUAGAGCGCGUCACUCGUACCAUUACGUAAUGAUGAGGUCGGCGGUUCGAUCCCGCCUGGGGGCA
rfam:Magnaporthe poae ATCC 64411 unplaced genomic scaffold supercont1.4, whole genome shotgun sequence.